rnacentral:rRNA from 1 species
UACGGAAGGCAGCAGGGGGAAUAUUGCACAAUGGGCGCAAGCCUGAUGCAGCCAUGCCGCGUGUAUGAAGAAGGCCUUCGGGUUGUAAAGUACUUUCAGUCGUGAGGAAGGUGUUAAGGUUAAUAACCUUAGCAAUUGACGUUAGCGACAGAAGAAGCACCGGCUAACUCCGUGCCAGCAGCCGCGGUAAUACGGAGGGUGCGAGCGUUAAUCGGAAUUACUGGGCGUAAAGGGCACGCAGGCGGUUAAUUAAGUUGGAUGUGAAAUCCCCGGGCUUAACCUGGGAAUGGCAUUCAAGACUGGUUAGCUAGAGUCUUGUAGAGGGGGGUAGAAUUCCAUGUGUAGCGGUGAAAUGCGUAGAGAUGUGGAGGAAUACCGGUGGCGAAGGCGGCCCCUGGACAAAGACUGACGCUCAUGUGCGAAAGCGUGGGGAGCAAACAGGGAUUAGACAC